rnacentral:rRNA from 1 species
CCUACGGGUGGCUGCAGUGGGGAAUAUUGCACAAUGGGCGAAAGCCUGAUGCAGCAACGCCGCGUGAGCGAUGAAGUCUUUCGGUUCGUAAAGCUCUGUCCUCAAGGAAGAUGAUGACGGUACUUGAGUAGGAAGCCCCGGCUAACUACGUGCCAGCAGCCGCGGUAAUACGUAGGGGGCUAGCGUUAUCCGGAUUUACUGGGCGUAAAGGGGGCGUAGGUGGUUUAUCAAGUCAGAGGUGAAAGGCUACGGCUCAACCGUAGUAAGCCUUUGAAACUGGGGUACGUGAGUGCAGGAGAGGAGAGUGGAAUUCCGAGUGUAGCGGUGAAAUGCGUAGAUAUUAGGAGGAACACCAGUUGCGAAGGCGGCUCUCUGGACAGUAACUGACGCUGAGGCACGAAAGCGUGGGGAGCAAGCAGGAUUAGAUACCCUUGUAGUC